CCUACGGGAGGCAGCAGUGAGGAAUAUUGGUCAAUGGCCGGAAGUCUGAACCAGCCAAGUCGCGUGAGGGAGGAAUGCGCAGAGCGUUGUAGACUUCUUUUGUAUGGGGAUAAAAGGUUGGACGGGUGGGGUUUUGUGGGUACCCUGUGAAUAAGCAUCGGCUAACUCCGUGCCAGCAGCCGCGGUAAUACGGAGGAUGCGAGCGUUAUCCGGAUUCAUUGGGUUUAAAGGGUGCGGAGGUGGGUCGUUAAGUCGGUGGUGAAAGUGUGCGGCUCAACCCCAACAGUGCAGUUGAAACUGGCAGCCUUGAGUACAGCAGAGGCAGGCGGAAUGCGCGGUGUAGCGGUGAAAUGCAUAGAUAUCACGCAGAACCCCGAUUGCGAAGGCAGCGUGCCGUACUGCCACUGACACUGAGGCACGAAAGCGCGGGGAUCAAACAGGAUUAGAUACCCUGGUAGUC
rnacentral:rRNA from 1 species